rnacentral:rRNA from 1 species
UUCCGGUUGAUCCCGCCGGACCUGACUGCUAUCGGAUUGAUACUAAGCCAUGCGAGUCAUUGCAGCAAUGCAAGGCAUACGGCUCAGUAACGCGUAGUCAACCUAACCUAUGGACGGGAAUAACCUCGGGAAACUGAGCAUAAUGCCCGAUAGAACACUAUACCUGGAAUGGUUUGUGUUCCAAAUGAUUUAUCGCCGUAGGAUGGGACUGCGGCCUAUCAGUUUGUUGGUGAGGUAAUGGCCCACCAAGACUAUUACAGGUACGGGCUCUGAGAGGAGUAGCCCGGAGAUGGGUACUGAGACACGGACCCAGGCCCUAUGGGGCGCAGCAGGCGAGAAAACUUUGCAAUGUGCGAAAGCACGACAAGGUUAAUCCGAGUGGUUUCUGCUAAAGGAACCUUUUGUUAGUCCUAGAAACACUAACGAAUAAGGGGUGGGCAAGUUCUGGUGUCAGCCGCCGCGGUAAAACCAGCACCUCAAGUGGUCAGGAUGAUUAUUGGGCCUAAAGCAUCCGUAGCCGGCUCUGUAAGUUUUCGGUUAAAUCUGUACGCUUAACGUACAGGCUGCCGGGAAUACUGCAGAGCUAGGGAGUGGGAGAGGUAGACGGUACUCGGGAGGAAGUGGUAAAAUGCUUUGAUCUCUCGAUGACCACCUGUGGCGAAGGCGGUCUACCAGAACACGUCCGACGGUGAGGGAUGAAAGCUGGGGGAGCAAACCGGAUUAGAUACCCGGGUAGUCCCAGCUGUAAACUAUGCAAACUCAGUGAUGCAUUGGCUUGUGGCCAAUGCAGUAUUGCAGGGAAGCCGUUAAGUUGCCGCCUGGGAAGUACGUACGCAAGUAUGAAACUUAAAGGAAUUGCGGGGGGAGCAC